rnacentral:tRNA from 1 species
GGAGAGGUGCCGGAGUGGUCGAACGGGGCAGUCUCGAAAACUGUUGAGCUCUUAUAGGGUUCCGAGGGUUCGAAUCCCUCCCUCUCCG